CCUACGGGAGGCAGCAGUGAGGAAUAUUGGUCAAUGGACGAGAGUCUGAACCAGCCAAGUAGCGUGAAGGAUGACUGCCCUAUGGGUUGUAAACUUCUUUUAUAUGGGAAUAAAAUGUUCCACGUGUGGGAUUUUGUAUGUACUAUAUGAAUAAGGAUCGGCUAACUCCGUGCCAGCAGCCGCGGUAAUACGGAGGAUCCGAGCGUUAUCCGGAUUUAUUGGGUUUAAAGGGAGCGUAGGUGGAUUGUUAAGUCAGUUGUGAAAGUUUGCGGCUCAACCGUAAAAUUGCAGUUGAAACUGGCAGUCUUGAGUAGAGUAGAGGUGGGCGGAAUGCGUGGUGUAGCGGUGAAAUGCUGAGAUAUCGCGAAGAACUCCGAUUGCGAAGGCAGUUCACUGGACUGCAACUGACACUGAGGCUCGAAAGUGUGGGUAUCAAACAGGAUUAGAUACCCUAGUAGUC
rnacentral:rRNA from 1 species